rnacentral:rRNA from 1 species
GUGGGGAAUCUUCCGCAAUGGACGAAAGUCUGACGGAGCGACGCCGCGUGAGUGAAGAAGGCCUUCGGGUCGUAAAGCUCUGUCAUCAGGGACGAACGGCCGGUGGAGUGGAAAGCCACCGGAUUGACGGUACCUGAGAAGGAAGCCACGGCUAACUACGUGCCAGCAGCCGCGGUAAUACGUAUGUGGCAAGCGUUGUCCGGAAUUAUUGGGCGUAAAGCGCGCGCAGGUGGGAUCUUAAGUCCAUUUUUAAAGUUCGGAGCUCAACUCCGUGAUGGGAUGGAAACUGGGAUUCUUGAGUACCGGAGAGGAAAGCGGAAUUCCCCGUGUAGCGGUGAAAUGCGUAGAUAUGGGGAGGAACACCAGUGGCGAAGGCGGGUUCCUGGCCCAUGACUGACGCUGAGGUGCGAAAGCCGGGGGAGCGAACGGGAUUAGAUACCCCUGUAGUCC